rnacentral:lncRNA from 1 species
GCCUUAUCUCCUGGGCCUUGGGCAGGGACUGGGUCUGUGUGGGGUUGCCUCUGACCCCUGGGGUGAGGCAGAAGAUCUUGGGUGGAGCCAAAAGGGGUCAUUGAGACAGAAAGCAGAAGUGUCCCUCACCUCAGGGCCCCUUUCUCCAGGCAGAUCAUGAUCCAUCGGUUCUGCUGGGUCAGGCUAUAGGACGACAAGACCCACCAAGGGACCAAGUGCUCCAGGCACCAUGGGACAGUGUCGGUCAGCCAAUGCUGAGGUGGGACCGUCGCUCUUUGGCCUGUUUCCCUGUUCUUUUCCACCCCUGGGAUCUGUGUUCCCCUCUGACUUCUGCCCCUCACCUUGGCCUGGCCCUACACCCAGACCUCGGCAGUGAGGCCUGAGAUCCCUCCCUGAACCCCACACAAGGUGAUCGGAUGGACUCCUCCUGGGAAGAGGAUGUCUGCACACGUGCUGGGACC